ACACUCCUGCGGGAGGCAGCAGUGGGGAAUAUUGCACAAUGGGCGCAAGCCUGAUGCAGCCAUGCCGCGUGUAUGAAGAAGGCCUUCGGGUUGUAAAGUACUUUCAGCGGGGAGGAAGGCAAUACGGUUAAUAACCGUGUUGAUUGACGUUACCCGCAGAAGAAGCACCGGCUAACUCCGUGCCAGCAGCCGCGGUAAUACGGAGGGUGCAAGCGUUAAUCGGAAUUACUGGGCGUAAAGCGCACGCAGGCGGUCUGUCAAGUCGGAUGUGAAAUCCCCGGGCUCAACCUGGGAACUGCAUUCGAAACUGGCAGGCUUGAGUCUUGUAGAGGGGGGUAGAAUUCCAGGUGUAGCGGUGAAAUGCGUAGAGAUCUGGAGGAAUACCGGUGGCGAAGGCGGCCCCCUGGACAAAGACUGACGCUCAGGUGCGAAAGCGUGGGGAGCAAACAGGAUUAGAUACCCGUGUAGUCCCAUG
rnacentral:rRNA from 1 species